GACGAACGCUGGCGGCGUGCCUAACACAUGCAAGUCGAGCGAGUGGAGUUCUUCGGAACAAAGCUAGCGGCGGACGGGUGAGUAACACGUGGGCAACCUGCCUCAUAGAGGGGAAUAGCCUCCCGAAAGGGAGAUUAAUACCGCAUAAGAUUGUAGCUUCGCAUGAAGUAGCAAUUAAAGGAGCAAUCCGCUAUGAGAUGGGCCCGCGGCGCAUUAGCUAGUUGGUGAGGUAACGGCUCACCAAGGCGACGAUGCGUAGCCGACCUGAGAGGGUGAUCGGCCACAUUGGGACUGAGACACGGCCCAGACUCCUACGGGAGGCAGCAGUGGGGAAUAUUGCACAAUGGGGGAAACCCUGAUGCAGCAACGCCGCGUGAGUGAUGACGGCCU
rnacentral:rRNA from 1 species